GUCAGGUGCCUCGACCACCACGGAGCAGGUGGCAAGGGAGCACUGACAGUCCCGAACACACCCCUCUGGUCCCAGGAGCAGACUGGAGGGAGAGUUUUCUCCCAGAGACUAGCAGGCACGUGGGCACCGAGUGGGAGGGAUCCCAGGGCGACCCGGGGUGAUCCCAGGGCAGAUCCGGAGCAGGCGCCGCCUCGCCGCUGGACACCCUGCAGCUUCCACCAAGGAUUACCUUUCUACCUGCUAGUGUGAGUAAACGCGAACGGGAACAAGCCGCCGCUCGACAUUCACAGCCACGACCUUCCCCAGGGAAGCUGCAGCGCAGUUUUCAGCCAGCACGCUUCGGGAGUUUUCAGACCCAAUUUAGCCUUCUAGGUCUUACGGACACUCCCUCCGCGCCCUCCUCCCCCCAGUUCAGGCCCAUUUCACUUUCUAGACUACUCAGUGGUUAAAGAGAACAAAAGCUAGGGUUGGGGCCCUCGAGGGCCCCCAGCCUGGGCCGAGCUGGGGGGGGGGCUAAGGCGGGGGGCGGGGGCCGGGGGGGCUCCCCCUUGAGUGGGAGGCGGGCAAAAACGGAGGGUGGGGGAAACGCACUCUCCUUCCGCGGCUGAAAGCUGCAGAGCUCGAGGACCAGGUGGGGGGAGCCGGGACGCGGACGGCAUCAGCUCCACCCCCACCCCACGCCAGGACCGACACCGAACCGAGGCCGCGGGGACCCGCACUUUGCGCUCGGAGCAGCGCUUGGAACACGGGGCAGGCCAAGGGCUCUCCACGAGCCGCUGGAGAGCCGUGGCUGCGGGGGGACGCGCUCGCGCGUGCUGCGGGGUCAAGCCCCUGUGUCCGCACGGCCCUUGGGAAACGACUUCCUUUUUCUGCGCUUCGUUGUUCGCAUCUGCAAAUGCUGGUGAUAAUCCCAGCACCUCCCUCGUGGGGUUCCUGCCCGGGACACACCUUCCGUGUUUUCCUGACUGCGGCCCUGCUCGCGUGCAGGGCUCCGCUCCUCCGACCCGGGCUCCGCAGCUGGAAGGGGCCAAGGCAAGAGGUUCGCGCGCUUUCUUCUCCAGCGAGGCGACGCCUUCUCCAGGCGCUGACAGCAGACGUGGCCUCCAGGCCCGGGGACCGGAGCAGGCCGGGCCCUGGGCGCGGGGCGGCGGGGCGGGGUGCAGGUGCUUUGUGGGGGGGGGGUGCGGCGCUGCUGCGGGGGGGGGGGG
rnacentral:lncRNA from 12 species